rnacentral:rRNA from 1 species
GACGGAGGGUGCGAGCGUUAUUCGGAAUCAUUGGGCGUAAAGAGCGUGUAGGCGGCCGGUUAAGUCAGGUGUGAAAGCCCGGGGCUCAACCUCGGAAGUGCACUUGAAACUGGUCGGCUUGAGUUCGGGAGAGGGAAGCGGAAUUCCUGGUGUAGAGGUGAAAUUCGUAGAGAUCAGGAGGAACACCGGUGGCGAAGGCGGCUUCCUGGACCGAAACUGACGCUGAGACGCGAAAGCGUGGGGAGCAAACCGG